UUUACGGAGAGUUUGAUCCUGGCUCAGGAUGAACGCUGGCGGCGUGCUUAACACAUGCAAGUCGAACGAUGACUUUUGUGCUUGCACAAAA
rnacentral:rRNA from 1 species